AGUUACUAAACCUAAAGGCGCAAUGAAAGUGAAGGUUCUCGCCUUUGAGCGGACCGAGGGAAGAUGGGCGCGGUAAUCGCGCCCCGCAUUCCCGGGGCGUCUCGUUCUCAUUACGAGUUGAGGCGCACCCAGAGCGUACACGUUGGGACCCGAAAGAUGGUGAACUAUGCCUGGCCAGGACGAAGUCAGGGGAAACCCUGAUGGAGGUCCGUAGCGAUUCUGACGUGCAAAUCGAUCGUCGGAGCUGGGUAUAGGGGCGAAAGACUAAUCGAACCAUCUAGUAGCUGGUUCCCUCCGAAGUUUCCCUCAGGAUAGCUGGUGCUCAAACAGAUUCUCAUCUGGUAAAGCGAAUGAUUAGAGGCCUUGGGGCCGAAACGACCUCCAACCUAUUUCUCAAACUUUAAAUGGGUGAGAUCUCCGGCUUGCUUAAAGCUAUGAAGCCGCGAGAUGGACAAUAUAUCAGAUGGAUCAGGGUGCCAAGUGGGCCAUUUUUGGUAAGCAGAACUGGCGCUGUGGGAUGAACCAAACGCAGAGUUAAGGCGCCCGAAUCGACGCUCAUGGGAAACCAUGAAAGGCGUUGGUUGCU
rnacentral:rRNA from 1 species